AGUCCGACGCUCAACUGACUGAGCCACCCAAGCGCCCCUGGAGAAUAUUUCUAAUCCAUGAGUUGUUUAUUGAAAGUGAAUAUAUAUCAUAUUAAAGUUUAAGCUUUUGCUUAACUUUGACUAGGACUCCUUACAAAGCAUCCACCCUGACUCAGGUAGUCUGUUGAAUUUAAGCAUCUGUUUAAUUUGGUUCUCCUCACCCUCAGCUGUAAAUUAGCCACCUGAUGAAAAGAAGGUCUGUUUUUCAGCAGUGAAGAGAGGAGUAUUUUUAAAGUUCAUUUUCAUUUUCUUACUGUUUGGCAUUUUUAGUUUAGUUUAAGUUUAGUUUAGUUUAGUAUAGUUUAAUUUAGGCAUUGGGUUCUACUCUAAAUUUUAUGCAACCACUAUAAGAAUGGGACAUGGGGCUAAAGAGAUGCAACUGAAUUUCCAAGAGAUUAAUCCCUUUCCUUGUGAGUGAAUUAAAUUCUUGUAAUAAUUGUCAGAGCCAAUAUCUUAGAUCCUCUGGACACUUCUAACUAAAUAUCCACCAUAUGUUUGGUGUGACAUCAAAAGUGGUCAAUAAAUUAAGAGCAGUCUUGACAGUCUUCUGCAGAUUUGGAAGUUUUAAUUACUCCCACCAAUUUUGCAAUAAUAGAGAUUCACUUUUCAGAUUGUGAAGUGUUUUAGAGAGGAAUCAGGUGAAUAAAAGUGCUUUUUAGGGGAAAUCUUUCAGUGGACACAGUAUCAAUUCAAGCUUUAUAUCCGUUGUAUUUAACCACAAGAGCACAUUAUAAUGUCAUAGAAAUAGUUCAGUCUCACUAGAGACAUCAAAAUGUCAUAAAUGUGAAAUUAAAUUAAUAGUUAUAAAGCAUUCAUAUUUGUCACAGUGGAAGAAUUACAGGAAUAAUUUUAAAGUCUCACAUUUACUGUCUCUUUCACUUGAAAAUCACAGCAGAAAAUCAACAGCAUUCAGACCUCUUGACUACUUAGCAAUCUGUUCAUCCUUAAUUUAAAAACAUUUAUUACCCUGUACCUUCCAAAAAUAUAAUAAAAAACGUACAUGCUCUUGAGAAAGGAGUGAAAAACAUGUCUUUUGGAUUUUAACUGUCUUAAGAAUGAUAAGAUUAUUAACUUCUCACCGGAAGAAUUUAGGGAGAAGAUGUGAAACCAGAGGCAAAGAGAAGGGUUAAGAUGAAUAAAACAUAAUGAUUUGAGUCUUUUAAAAAUACCACCAUAUGUUUCUGAUAACUGUGAACUUUCAUAAUUUUUUUGUCUUAAGAUAUAUUGAUAAUUUAUCAAAAUUAAAUAAACACUUGGUCCUGCUAAACCAUGAAUAUUUUAAUUCUAUAUCAAUGGUUAUCCUCAACACCCUUUCAAAAUAGAAAGGCAGUAGUCAAUGAUGCACAGACAUUUCUAACUGACAUUCCCCUAAUUACAUAGGGCUGCCUCAUAUACAUUACUUAUAUAUGAAUAGCUGCUCCAACCAGUCGACCAAAGGAACGCUUAUCUAUAGCCACUGGGGAAUUCUUUAUAGUCCCUUCCAUCUUAAUAUGUUGGGUGUGAAUAAUUCUACCUUAUAGUCUACCUCUUCCUCUCUUCUUCUCCAGAAAGGAAACAAAGAAGGGCACAAACAACAUUUGAAAACAAGAAGAUGGAAGAAGUAGAGGAAAUUAAGAGAUAAAAUCCUGUUUCAGGCUAUAGAAAUCUCCAGAGCAGGGGGGCAUCCAUGGUUUUUCAGGAGCAGGUUUUAUGAUCAGAAAUUGAUGUAUUUUUUUUUGUUUGUUUUUGUUUUUUUUUUAAAUAAUAGUGAUAAGUGGAAAGAAUCAGUCCCAGGUUGUGACUCAGAGGUAAACCGAGACCUUGUGGAAGUUUCAUUCAUAUCUAAUUUCUGUCUGUUUUCAUCAUCCCAAAGUUUUAAGCCACUUAAAUGCAAUUAAAUUUGAUGAGGUCAAAAGCAAAUAGUUUCAAUUAUCAUCAAUUAUAAUAUAAUUAUAAUUACUGAUUGAUUCAAAGUUGAGAGCAUUAAACUCUGAUGCCAGCAGGGUAGCUCAGGGUAACUUUUCCAAAAUAAAAAAAAAAUCAGGUGGUCCAGGUCCACAAUGGGAUCAUACAGGCCAGAUAUGAAUUUGGACAGCAUGUUCGGUGUUCAGCAUUGAGGUAGUGGUGAACUUUUACUCAUGGUGUGACAAACAGGGCUAAGCGUAAGAGGAGGCCCUGAUUUUUCUGCCAUGGCUAACUUUAAUUUUCCCACAGAAUAUUUGUUUUCGGUGGUCUUUCAGUCCAUACUUCUAUUAGUGAAAUACAUUAUGACCAUGAUAACUUAAAGAGAUUUCAGUCAGCUGGCCCUGGCCAUGAAGCAUUAUUUAAUCAUUCUGUUACUAUGAGAAAACAUUUUCCCAAAUAAGUGAUCUACAAGUAAACUUUUGGAAACAACUUGUUAUAAAUUGCCUGUAUAGUUUUCUUUGAAAAUAUAUACAAAUGUAAGCAAAACAAAACACAAAAAACCAAAAAACCUUUUCUUUCAAAGAGAAUGCUUAAUUUUCUCCCUAUUCUUAGGAUUUGUCAAGCGCUGCAGUGAAUUCCGUUUCCCUUGUGCUGAAAAAGUGUGUAAUUGGAUUAAUAAUUAGCUAGUUUAUUAAAGCCCAGUAGGUUUUUUCUGACAUUUUUUUCCUUUGGUAGAAGACAGUGUUUUCCUAAUUAAAACCGUCAAUAAGAAAUUCACUUCUUACCUUGUCAGAAGGUUUAAAUGGAUUUCCUUGUCCGCUAAUUCCACCACUGAUACUAAAUCCAAGGCCAGGAUUCUUUUCUAUUCUCACACAAAACUAUGUAAAAAAGAUAUAAAAAAAAGUGAUCAACUAUAUAUCAAGGCUAAAUAUCUUCAAAUAACUGCAUCACAGUAGAGAGAUUCACAUUUCACUUAAGUUGUCAGGGUUAGCCUAUAUUAACUUAGUACAGAAAAGACAAACUGUUUAGUGCUCCUAUAGGCAUAAGUUAUCAUUGAAACUAGCUUGAAAUUACCUGGUAAAGCAGAUAUUAGUAAGAAUUUACUCAUUACUAUGUGUAGGAAUACAUUUUGACAAACAGUUUUUAAAAAUUAAGAUUUAUAACAAUAACAAGAUUGUGCAUUAUUUCAAUUACCUACUUUAAAUCCACAUAUGUUCUGAUCAAUUUAGAAGGGACUGUAUGAAUAAGUGAAAGAAAAUUUGCAAGUGUACAUUUGGGGAAAAUAUGGUUAUUUAAUUAAGUUGCCACUGCUUUCCAGGAGAGUAGUUCAAUUCAUCUCCUUGGUAGAUGGUUCUAUUGUUUAGAAAUAUAGGGCUUUUAUUUUGAAAAAGAGUAGAACUUUUGAACAUAGUCUGAGUGUAUGUGGAACAGAGGAAGAAUGAAAUACUCAGUAAUAAAUAUUUUGGGUUUGUCACCAGCUCCUGGAGGGACAGUUAGAGCCCUUGGAAGACAGAGGACACUGGAAAAGAAAGAGGUCAAGGAUAUGGAGAAACGGUGAUAGGCAAUAGUCGUGAACUGUGGUCUGGAAUCAGAUGAUCCUCCUUCUGACUAAUCCUCAGCAGGUUGAUAAUAGCCUAACGCUAUGUCACAAUGUCUACAUCAUUCACCUCACUUCAUCUCAUCAUGUGGGCCUUGUAUCAUCUCACAUCAUCACGAGAACAGUGAGUACAAUAUAAGUGUUUAACCACUGAAAAUAAUGAGAAAACCCCUACAAAGAAUGCUCCACUCCAUUCAACAUGGUGACAGCAUUAAUUUGUCCCAGACUACAUAAAUGAGAGAAGGUAAACCAUGGAUUCAUUGGACUGCCCUGAACAUUCCCUGAAACUUCAUCAAUUAUAAAAACUCUUCUCACCUGCUCUGGAUAUCCAUCCAUACUCCUUUGCCCUUUAGUUUGAAUUAAGCACCGUCCAGGCUGAGGUCCCCGGGUGGCCUGUGAAGAGGGGAUCUGAAUAGGCAAUGGUGACUGAAAUUGCUGGAUGGUCACUUUGUUUAUAUUUCCCUCAUAUGGCUGCUGCUCCCGGCUCCGAUGCUGAAGGCUUUGGGACCCCAUCAAAGUCUGGAUGUGGCUUCCUGCCUGUGGAGAAGAUAAUUUGUCAGACGAAGAUUCAUGGUGCUGAAAGGAUGUGAUUAAAGUAGAAAACACGUACAGAAUACCUCUCUGGUAAAGUGGCAUCAUUUGGGCUCUCAGCCACUGCUGGAAAGGAUAAUGAAAAAACAGUAAGGGUCUGCCUACUGUGGUUUGUGAAAAUGUUAAUAUUGGAGCAAGGUUGCAAUAAAUACAUUCAUAGUCA